GAGGUCAGGGGAGUGUUGGUAUCAAUUUUGGGGUUGUUUGGUAUAGUUUGUGUUUUGUCUCAAAUAUUUGAUUGAAGAUUCGAAAAGAUGCAGCUUGAUUCGAUCCAAGAGAGUGGUAAAUUUGGGUUAGGGGUGUGAAGGGGGUUUUGUGGUGUUAAGGAGUUGGUCGGCGGCGUAGUUGCCGCCGGGUUUUUAGGUGGAGGGUGCCAUGGUGGCUAGGGUUUAGUGAGGGAGACGGUCUGUCUCUUGCGAGACACGAUGAUAGUGAGUGGAUGUUUGGUUAGGGGGG
rnacentral:lncRNA from 1 species